AUGCCCAACCAGAAAAUCUCAUGCCUCCUAGCAAUUUCACAUGCCCAUCUGGAGACUUGUGACACAUGGCAAACAUCGAAAAAAAUCCAAGAGUUGCUUCACGUAGAAAGAAUCUUCGAAGAAAUUUUUUCCAUUAUUUUUUUGAUGCAUUGCGAGGCUUCCUUGGGUGGCAUUUUUCUCCAACCUUAACCAGCACACUUUGGCCAUCCAAGGGCCCACAAAGGAGGUGCUAACUUGAAGAUGGCAUGGAGAAACAAUCAGAAAUAAAGGUGGC
rnacentral:lncRNA from 1 species